rnacentral:rRNA from 1 species
GAUGAACGCUGGCGGCGUGCCUAAUACAUGCAAGUCGAGCGAACGGACGAGAAGCUUGCUUCUCUGAUGUUAGCGGCGGACGGGUGAGUAACACGUGGAUAACCUACCUAUAAGACUGGGAUAACUUCGGGAAACCGUAGCUAAUACCGGAUAAUAUUUUGAACCGCAUGGUUCAAAAGUGAAAGACGGUCUUGCUGUCACUUAUAGAUGGAUCCGCGCUGCAUUAGCUAGUUGGUAAGGUAACGGCUUACCAAGGCAACGAUGCAUAGCCGACCUGAGAGAGUGGUCGGCCACACUGGAACUGAGACACGGUCCAGACUCCUACGGGAGGCAGCAGUAGGGAAUCUGCCGCAAUGGGCGAAAGCCUGACGGAGCAACGCCGCGUGAGUGAUGAAGGUCUUCGGAUCGUAAAACUCUGUUAUUAGGGAAGAACAUAUGUGUAAGUAACUGUGCACAUCUUGACGGUACCUAAUCAGAAAGCCACGGCUAACUACGUG